rnacentral:lncRNA from 1 species
GGACGUCCCCCUGGCCUUCAGCAGCUGGACAGCUCCCUGGCAACAGCCCUGUGGCCUACCUUCUGGGAGAAGUGGCUCCUGCUGUCCUACCGAAUGAAGAGAAAAUGUCCAGCCCUGUCCUGCUGCUUGGAGCCCAGGGAGACACUGGGGAGGCCCCAGGUGAGGAGACUAAAGGGGAGCUCUGGUCUUCUGUCCUCAGCCCUUUGGUCACACUGGACCUCCACCUCUCUGCUCUCUCCUAUUUGCACAGCAAAGGUAGAGGAUGGGCUGUGGUCUGAGUCAGGCAGAGGUGGCUGACCUGGAGGCUGGACAUCAAUGGGGGAUGAAGAUGCCUUCUGAGCAACCCUGGGCUCAGGCUCGGGGGUGGAGCAGGGAUUGGAGGAGAGGAGAGCUCUGGAGCCCUGCCCUGCAUCUGAGGUUUCCAUUUUUCCUACUACAACCCCUCUCUGCUGCUCCUUGAUGACAACAAGUGAAAAGCAAUUUUUUCUUUGACAUUCUCUUGCUUUUCUGAGGGCUGUUUUUAUAAACAAACACUUUAAUUUUAGAAUAUUUUGAUAUUCACAGAAAAGUUGCAGUUACUACAGAGUUCCUGUAUAUCCCAAACUCAAUUACCCCUGAUAUUAACAUCUUAUAUCACCACCAUACAUUUGUCACAGCUAAUGAAGCAGUAUUUUUACAUUAUCACUAAACUCCAUACUCUAUUUGGAUUUCAUUAGUUUUAAUUUUUUCUCUUCCAGGAUCCCAUCAAAGAUACCACAUAGUUACGUCCCAAACACGUCUCCUUCAGCUUCCUGUGGCUGUGUCAGUUUCUCAGAAUUUCCUUGUUUUUGAUGACCUUGACAUUUUUGAGGAGUACUGCUCAGCUAUAUUGUAGACUGUCUCUCAAUUUGAGUUUGGUUGACCCGGGCUCUGGGGUUUUUGGGAACAAGCCCACAGGGGUGAAGUGCCAUUCUCAACACAGCAUAUCAAGGGUAUAUAAUACCCACUCGAUUGAUCACUGAUGAUGCUAACCUUCACCACCUGGCUGAGGUCGUGAUUCCCAGCUUUCUCCCUGUGAAGUUCCCAUUUUCUGUGUCCCUCUCCACACAGCAGUCUUGGGAAGGAAGUCACUGCGUGCAGCCCACACUUAAGGGGUGUUCUGCUAUAAAUAUUUGCAUGCAGGUUUUUGGGCAAAUGUAAGUUUUCAAAUGAGUUGGGUAAAAACCUAGGAGAGUGAUCAGUAGGUUGUAUGGUAAAUCUAUGUUUGGUUUUAUAAGAAACUGCUGAAUAUCUUCCAUAACAGCUGUGCUAUUCUGUAUUCCUGCCCACAAUAAAUGAGGGAUCCUGCUGCUCCA